AACGAACACUGGCGGCAUGCCUAACACAUGCAAGUCGAACGAUUGCCUUCGGGUGAUAGUGGCGCACGGGUGCGUAACGCGUGGGAAUCUGCCCUUAGGUUCGGAAUAACAGGUGGAAACGGCUGCUAAUAGCGGAUGAUAUCGCGAGAUCAAAGAUUUAUCGCCUGAGGAUGAGCCCGCGUUGGAUUAGGUAGUUGGUGGGGUAAAGGCCUACCAAGCCGACGAUCCAUAGCUGGUCUGAGAGGAUGAUCAGCCACACUGGGACUGAGACACGGCCCAGACUCCUACGGGAGGCAGCAGUGGGGAAUAUUGGACAAUGGGCGCAAGCCUGAUCCAGCAAUGCCGCGUGAGUGAUGAAGGCCCUAGGGUUGUAAAGCUCUUUUACCCGGGAAGAUAAUGACUGUACCGGGAGAAUAAGCCCCGGCUAACUCCGUG
rnacentral:rRNA from 1 species